UACGGAGGGGGCGAGUGUUGUUCGGAAUUACUGGGCGUAAAGGGCGCGCAGGCGGCAUGGCAAGUCGAGUGUGAAAUCCCCCGGCUUAACUGGGGAAUGGCGCUCGAAACUACCGCGCUGGAGGGCGGGAGAGGGAAGUGGAACUCUCGGUGUAGGGGUGAAAUCUGUAGAUAUCAAGAGGAACACCUGAGGUGAAGACGGGUUGCUGGGCUGACACUGACGCUGAGGCGCGAAAGCCAGGGGAGCAAACGGG
rnacentral:rRNA from 1 species